AACCGACGCUGAACACGAUUUUCGCUUUUCGUCUUUUGUCGUAAAAAUGAAACUCUCCUUCGGGUUUCUUUCCAUUACGGAAAACGGGUACUAACACAGGUCCUUCCUAAAAGUGAAGUGGCAUAGCGGGAACCUUCGAAAACCGGAGGAUACCUGUAAUUGCUCUCCUUUUUGGCUGCCUAAUAUUCACCACCCCCCAGCACGCACACACACACACAUUUUGUGUGUGUGUGUGACAACAUUUCCUAAUGUCCUUAUGAGGAAUUACCUAUCUCCAAUAGCUAGUGGUUUUAUUGGAACUGUCAAUGCAGUUGCCAGGGAGUGAGCCCAUAACGCCAAGGUAGGUCAGCUGAACUCAGGACUUUGAACUUGAUCAGAAAUGGAACAAAAUAUAAAACACCAGAAAAAGCAUACCUGCAUUCCUUCCAUCAUCAUCUCCUAGUGAGGUCGUUGAAACAUUCCUGCUUCCAGACCCCUGGUGCCCUGAAUACCUGUCCUUUGAUGAGCCUGUUCUCCAGUCCUUCCCAUCGAUUCUGUCCCCAGAGUUGUAGCCGUGAACAAAUAACACAGUUCAGGGGCGGGGCACGCAGCCCACUUUACAGCAGGAGAAACAGAUUCCCAGCCAAGAGUCGAGAGGUUCACUUCUUCCUGCGCCUCGGUGACAAGCAAAUGCAGGCCACCCCUUGGGAAGGAACCUGGGCAUGAUAUCAAGGUGGAGAAGUGUUGUUAUCCUAAUGAUGUUGAGCAACUGCAAAAGCAAUAUAGAUAUAUUUUAUAAAGGCUGAAAUUCCGAGCCAUCACAUGGAGAAGAGCUUCUCCAGCAGGUUUCCCAGAACUACAGUGGAUUUUACAGAACACUGUACCGGCAACCAAAGGAGCGUCACUCGGUCCCAGAAGAAUGAGAAAAUGAAGUUUGUACAAGGCCUGGGGCAGAGCAGGAAAGCAACAUGGUUUCUAAGCACAGUUCCAAGCCUGAGGAGAAUCUCAAUUUAUGGACUCAUGACAAUGGCUUCUCUGCUUACAAUUAAGAUUCUGAUCAUAAAACAUCGUCUCAGCGUCUCGAAGGCAGAGGUGCCGCUGCUGGCUUGACAAAGGGAGCUGCCCAGGCAGCAAGGACGUGCAGACCUCCAGGAAUUGGAAGCAGGCCCAGAUGACCGCCAGCGAGAAAAUAGGGACCUCGGUCCCACAGCUGCCAAGACUUGAAUUCUGCCCACUACCAAAUGUCCUAGAAGAGGCCGACAGCUUGCCUGCAGCCUUGUGGAACCUGGAACCAAGGACCCAGUGAAGCCAUAUUCGGACUCCUGCCCCUCAGACACUCUGAGAUAAUAAAUGUAGGUUGUCCUAAGCUAUUCAGUUUGUGGUGUUGUUAUGCAGCAAUAGAUUACUAAUACACUCAAGGCUAGGAAACUCACAGCCAGUGAUGUCCCAUAGGAGGACCCAGAAGACACCUCAUUUACCAAAGCAAUAAGAAGUAUGUGGGGCAGGGCACCAGCA